CAUGUAGGCGGUUUUUUAAGUGAGAUGUGAAAUACUCGGGCUUAACCUGAGUGCUGCAUUUCAAACUGGAAGUCUAGAGCGCAGGAGAGGAGAAGGGAAUUCCUAGUGUAGCGGUGAAAUGCGUAGAGAUUAGGAAGAACACCAGUGGCGAAGGCGCUUCUCUGGACUGUAACUGACGCUGAGGCUCGAAAGCGUGGGAGCAAACAG
rnacentral:rRNA from 1 species